rnacentral:tRNA from 1 species
UAAUAAGAAGCUUAAUAAGCGCUCAGUUUCGACCUGAAAGAUAGGGAUAACACUUACCCCUUAUUAA